rnacentral:rRNA from 1 species
AACGAACGCUGGCGGCAGGCUUAACACAUGCAAGUCGAGCGCCCCGCAAGGGGAGCGGCAGACGGGUGAGUAACGCGUGGGAAACUACCCUUUGGUACGGAAUAACACAGAGAAAUUUGUGCUAAUACCGUAUGUGCCCUUCGGGGGAAAGAUUUAUCGCCAUAGGAUGUGCCCGCGUCGGAUUAGCUAGUUGGUAGGGUAAUGGCCUACCAAGGCGACGAUCCGUAGCUGGUCUGAGAGGAUGAUCAGCCACACUGGGACUGAGACACGGCCCAGACUCCUACGGGAGGCAGCAGUGGGGAAUAUUGGACAAUGGGGGCAACCCUGAUCCAGCCAUGCCGCGUGAGUGAUGAAGGCCUUAGGGUUGUAAAGCUCUUUCACCCACGACGAUAAUGACGGUAGUGGGAGAAGAAGCCCCGGCUAACUUCGUG